CUGUCACGCCCCAACCGCGCGGCCCGAAAACGGUACCAAUUUGGUCCGGUUCGAGGGCGGUGGCGCGACCGCCGAACGGACGGAGUUUCCCCUGUCCGCCCAAGGCUAAGCAACAGAUUGUGUACAACAAGUCCCCAGGAAUACAACUUGAAUACAUACACAAUCAAACAACGAUGAACGAGAGCACGAACAGUGCUACAACCAACUAGAGCAAGCGAUACAAGUAAAACCAUACAAGUAUACAAAAGAGAGCAACUUAGCUAUUUGAGACAUCAUUGAAACAUUUAACCUCUUUUAACAUCAUUAAAACUUUAAGCUUUGA
rnacentral:lncRNA from 1 species